rnacentral:rRNA from 1 species
GCUCAGAUUGAACGCUGGCGGCAGGCCUAACACAUGCAAGUCGAGCGGAUGAAGGGGGCUUGCUCCUGGAUUCAGCGGCGGACGGGUGAGUAAUGCCUAGGAAUCUGCCUGGUAGUGGGGGAUAACGUCCGGAAACGGGCGCUAAUACCGCAUACGUCCUGAGGGAGAAAGUGGGGGAUCUUCGGACCUCACGCUAUCAGAUGAGCCUAGGUCGGAUUAGCUAGUUGGUGGGGUAAAGGCCUACCAAGGCGACGAUCCGUAACUGGUCUGAGAGGAUGAUCAGUCACACUGGAACUGAGACACGGUCCAGACUCCUACGGGAGGCAGCAGUGGGGAAUAUUGGACAAUGGGCGAAAGCCUGAUCCAGCCAUGCCGCGUGUGUGAAGAAGGUCUUCGGAUUGUAAAGCACUUUAAGUUGGGAGGAAGGGCAGUAAGUUAAUACCUUGCUGUUUUGACGUUACCAACAGAAUAAGCACCGGCUAACUUCGUGCCAGCAGCCGCGGUAAUACGAAGGGUGCAAGCGUUAAUCGGAAUUACUGGGCGUAAAGCGCGCGUAGGUGGUUCAGCAAGUUGGAUGUGAAAUCCCCGGGCUCAACCUGGGAACUGCAUCCAAAACUACUGAGCUAGAGUACGGUAGAGGGUGGUGGAAUUUCCUGUGUAGCGGUGAAAUGCGUAGAUAUAGGAAGGAACACCAGUGGCGAAGGCGACCACCUGGACUGAUACUGACACUGAG